rnacentral:rRNA from 1 species
AGCGGCAGACGGGUGAGUAACGCGUGGGAAUCUACCGUGCCCUACGGAAUAGCUCCGGGAAACUGGAAUUAAUACCGUAUACGCCCUACGGGGGAAAGAUUUAUCGGGGUAUGAUGAGCCCGCGUUGGAUUAGCUAGUUGGUGGGGUAAAGGCCUACCAAGGCGACGAUCCAUAGCUGGUCUGAGAGGAUGAUCAGCCACAUUGGGACUGAGACACGGCCCAAACUCCUACGGGAGGCAGCAGUGGGGAAUAUUGGACAAUGGGCGCAAGCCUGAUCCAGCCAUGCCGCGUGAGUGAUGAAGGUCUUAGGAUUGUAAAGCUCUUUCACCGGAGAAGAUAAUGACGGUAUCCGGAGAAGAAGCCCCGGCUAACUUCGUGCCAGCA